AUUGAACGCUGGCGGCAGGCCUAACACAUGCAAGUCGAGCGGGGUUUUCGGACCUAGCGGCGGACGGGUGAGUAAUGCGUAGGAAGCUACCCGAUAGAGGGGGAUACCAGUUGGAAACGACUGUUAAUACCGCAUAAUGUCUACGGACCAAAGUGUGGGACCUUCGGGCCACAUGCUAUCGGAUGCGCCUACGUGGGAUUAGCUAGUUUGUGAGGUAAUGGCUCACCAAGGCGACGAUCCCUAGCUGGUUUGAGAGGAUGAUCAGCCACACUGGAACUGAGACACGGUCCAGACUCCUACGGGAGGCAGCAGUGGGGAAUAUCGGACAAUGGGCGCAAGCCUGAUCCAGCCAUGCCGCGUGUGUGAAGAAGGCCUUCGGGUUGUAAAGCACUUUCAGUAGGGAGGAAGCGUUGUGUGUUAAUAGUACACAGCGUUGACGUUACCUACAGAAGAAGCACCGGCUAACUCUGUGCCAGCAGCCGCAGUAAUAC
rnacentral:rRNA from 1 species